rnacentral:rRNA from 1 species
GAUGAACGCUAGCUACAGGCUUAACACAUGCAAGUCGAGGGACCGGCGCACGGGUGAGUAACACGUAUCCAACCUGCCCUUUACUCGGGGAUAGCCUUUCGAAAGAAAGAUUAAUACCCGAUAUAAAGGAUGGGGAUGCGUUCCAUUAGGUUGUUGGUGAGGUAACGGCUCACCAAGCCUUCGAUGGAUAGGGGUACUGAGAGGAAGGUCCCCUACACUGGAACUGAGACACGUGCCAAACGCCCACGGGAGGAAGGAGUGAGGAAAAUAGGUCAAUGAGCGCUAGCCGGAACCAGCCAAGUAGCGGGAAGGAUGAAGGCUUAUGGGUCGUAAACUUCUUUGAUAUAAGAAUAUGUAUUAGAUGAAUAAGGAUCGUCUGACUCCGUGCCAGCAGCCGCGGUAAUAC